GACGAACGCUGGCGGCGUGCUUAACACAUGCAAGUCGAACGGAAAGGCCCUGCUUUUGUGGGGUGCUCGAGUGGCGAACGGGUGAGUAACACGUGAGUAACCUGCCCUUGACUUUGGGAUAACUUUAGGAAACUGGGGCUAAUACCGGGUAUGAGCUCCUGCUGCAUGGUGUUGGUUGGUAAGUUUCGGCUGUUGGGGAUGGACUCGCCGCUUAUCAGCUUGUUGGUGGGGUAGUGGCUUACCACGGCUUUGACGGGUAGCCGGCCUGAGAGGGUGACCGGCCACAUUGGGACUAAGGUACGGCCCAGACUCCUACGGGAGGCAGCAGUGGGGAAUCUUGCACAGUGGGCGGAAGCCUGAUGCAGAAACGCCGCGUGCGGGAUGACGGCCUUCGGGUUGUAAACCGCUUUCGCCUGUGACGAAGCGUGAGUGACGGUAAUGGGUAAAGAAGCACCGGCUAACUACGUG
rnacentral:rRNA from 1 species